UUCGCCGCCGGUGUUGUUGUGAGAAGUUCAUUAAACCUUAUCAUUUAGAGGAAGGAGAAGUCGUAACAAGGUUUCCGUAGGUGAACCUGCGGAAGGAUCAUUG
rnacentral:rRNA from 1 species